GACGAACGCUGGCGGCGUGCUUAACACAUGCAAGUCGAACGAUGAACCCGGAGCUUGCUCCGGUGGAUUAGUGGCGAACGGGUGAGUAACACGUGAGUAACCUGCCCUUGACUCUGGGAUAACUGCGGGAAACUGUAGCUAAUACCGGAUACGACCCUCGGCGGCAUCGCCAGGGGGUGGAAAGAAUUUCGGUCAAGGAUGGACUCGCGGCCUAUCAGCUAGUUGGUGAGGUAACGGCUCACCAAGGCGACGACGGGUAGCCGGCCUGAGAGGGGGACCGGCCGCAAUGGGACUGGGACAGGGCCCAGACGCGUACGGGAGGCAGCAGUGGGGAAUAUUGCACAAUGGGCGCAAGCCUGAUGCAGCAACGCCGCGUGGGGGCUGACGGCCUUCGGGUUGUAAACCUCUUUUAGUAGGGAAGAAGCGAAAGUGACGGUACCUGCAGAAAAAGCACCGGCUAACUACGUGCCAGCCGCCGCCGUAA
rnacentral:rRNA from 1 species